GACAGAGGGGGCAAGCGUUGCUCGGAAUUACUGGGCGUAAAGGGCGCGUAGGCGGCCAUCUAAGUCAGACGUGAAAUCCCCCGGCUCAACCUGGGAACUGCGUCUGAUACUGGGAGGCUAGAGUUUGGGAGAGGGAUGUAGAAUUCCAGGUGUAGCGGUGAAAUGCGUAGAUAUCUGGAGGAAUACCGGUGGCGAAGGCGGCAUCCUGGACCAAUACUGACGCUGAGGCGCGAAAGCUAGGGGAGCAAACGGG
rnacentral:rRNA from 1 species